rnacentral:tRNA from 2 species
GGUCGAUUAGUUCAAUUGGUGAGAACGCGCGAUUAGAAAUUGCGCAUGUGGUUCAAAUCCACCAUCGACCG